CAUUGCCAUUUACAUUUAAUCUCAUAUUUUCUUCCAGUUUCUACAGUUUCCUGACUUUACACUUUAGCAAACUGAAAAUUGUUUUAGGAAAUUAAGUUCCCAGAACAACAAAAUCAAACCUUUAUCAUUAGCAAAGCAGACUGACUCUGGCAGAAACAAAGAACUUUGCAAAAACAAAAUUAAUUCCACAACAUUGUGAGAUAAUAUGCAUCUAUAAAAUGCAGUUUUCCAAUUUUCUCUCUUUUGUCCCACUUAGGAAAAAAACAGAACACUUCAGCAGCAAGUUUAUGGAAGCUCUGUUACAACAAGAGGCUUUCAAAGGUAGUUCCUUCAAAAAUUUCAUCUACCACUGUUUAAGCUUAGCCUGGGACGUGGAUGCACAGAAAGAGUAUGCAAUAGCAUCUGAGUGACUAUUGAGCAAAGUCAUCACAGCUGGAGAACAGGAAAUAACCUGAGGGUGAAUGGAGUCAGAAAAUUAUCUGUUCUAGGAUCCAGAAGGUCUCCUUGGCUGCUGGGGUCUGCAGAGGCAGUGUAUGAAUGAAUUAAAACAAAAGUAAGAAUAAAAGGCAAUGCAUUUGAACA
rnacentral:lncRNA from 1 species